rnacentral:lncRNA from 1 species
CUCUAGAUCUAUUUGAGUCAACAUCGAUGCCAUUUAAAAACCCAAAACUUUUUCGAACUCGUUCCAUCUAACUGUUAUAAAUAUUUGUCUUUAUAAAGAAGACCACUUGGGGAUUAUAUAACUUUAACACAUGCCAAAGUCUUCGAAUUAUCUGUGGACUUUCCAAUCCACGGACAUUCCAGCUUAGGAUUUUCAUUGCACCUGGUCAGCUCGCCUCUUGGUAGCCGCUGAGGAUUGAUGACUAACCUCCACUUCCUUCCUGUUCCUUACGGCCAAAGUGUUAGUCUCUCCUUUGGCUAAGACAUCUUCAAUCUCUCUUCUAUUUCUCUUUUUACCCUCCUCACCAAUAAGCACCCCAUCUUUAAGAUCAUGUUCCAUUAAGGUAUGCACCUGAUUCCCAC